rnacentral:rRNA from 1 species
UACGUAGGGUGCAAGCGUUGUCCGGAAUUAUUGGGCGUAAAGAGCUCGUAGGCGGUCUGUCGCGUCGGCUGUGAAAUCCCGGAGCUCAACUCCGGGUCUGCAGUCGAUACGGGCAAACUGGAGUACUGCAGGGGAGACUGGAAUUCCUGGUGUAGCGGUGAAAUGCGCAGAUAUCAGGAGGAACACCGGUGGCGAAGGCGGGUCUCUGGGCCAAUACUGACGCUGAGGAGCGAAAGCGUGGGGAGCGAACAGG